rnacentral:lncRNA from 1 species
GCUCUUCCCCCGUCCCCUCACCCCCUCAGCUGAGCUCGAGUCGGGGCGGGGCGGGGUACGUGGAGCGGGGCCGGGCGGGGAGCUGCUCCGAGUCUGGCCGGAGCGCACCCGGGGCGCCCGCGUUCGCCGCUCGCGGGAACUUUGCGGCGGAGCCGCAGGUGUGGAGGCCGCGGAGGGGUGCAUGAGCGGCGCGAGGGCGGCGCACAGAGCGGCGGCUGUCCGGUCCGGCCCCUGCUGGAGUCGCCGCCGGGAGGAGGCGAGCGAGGAGCCAGGUGUGUGUGCCUUCUUCCUGCUUCUGGGAAAAAAUGCCGGUCCGGAAGCAAGAUACCCAGAGAGCAUUGCAUCUGUUGGAAGAAUAUCGGUCGAAACUAAGCCAAACCGAAGACAGACAGCUCAGGAGUUCCAUAGAGCGGGUUAUUAGCAUAUUUCAGAGCAACCUCUUUCAGGCUUUAAUAGAAAUACCGGUAUCAGGACGAAGAGGUGCUGCCUUCAGAGCGGAUUUCCCCGCAAGUCCCAAAUGAGGUGCUGGGUCCGGAGCUGGUUCACGUCUCGGAGAAGAGCCUGUCAGAGAUUGAGAAUGUCCACGGGUUUGUCUCUCACUCUCAUAUCUCACCCAUAAAGGCAAAUCCUCCUCCUGUGCUGGUCAACACAGACAGCUUGGAGACACCAACUUAUGUUAAUGGUACUGAUGCAGAUUAUGAAUAUGAGGAAAUCACACUUGCCAGGAAUAACCAUAGAAUGUUUUCAGUCGGCCUCUGCACUCUGUGGAGAGUGACUCAGCGAGUUGUCCGUACACUUUGUGGUCACAGCUCUGUCAAGGCGCAGAGAGCCCACCUCACACACAGAUCUGUAGACGGAAGGCGUUUUGGUGGGUGUGUAGCAGUCAUGGCAGCAGAAAGGAGCCCAAUUCAUAGCCUAAAAUGUUGAUGUAUGCUGAGGGGUCAGAUUUUAAUGACUAUUUUACCCACAAUAACUGCCUAUUUUGUUAUAAUAAAAUAUAUAUAAAUAUAUAUAUAAAACUUUCUUUAACUAAACUGUAACUAUGGGAAUUAUUUUCUUUACAUAGUUGCACACACAAACAUAUAUAUAUUUAAAAUAUAUUUUUCUUUUGCCACCUACUUCUAACUUUUUGUUUGGUUUUUAAAUUAAAUAUUAAUUGAUGAGACUUACCGUCCUUAAUCAUGUGAACUGAAGCAAGUGUAUGGUGGCGAUGAGGAGGAGCCUCUAGGGAGAUUGGAUUGCGAGUCGACGCCAGGCCUGUUCUCCUCUUUCCUACAGAAUUCCAGAGGUUCCUAGGUUUUCUGUCAGUGCUGUGUUCUUGUUGUGGAGUUUGAUUUGGGUCCUCUGCCUUUCCUCCGAGUUCUCCUCAUUUUAUUACUAGACAGACAAACUCCAUUUUUGAGAUUCCCCAAACACUUCAUCUUGCAUAGCUGCACUGAACUAGAAUGCCUCAGAAGUCAGUCCUCUACUCCAUUAUUAAUAUCAUUUGGCUUCCCAUUGCUCUUUGGAAUUGUUAUUCAAUAUGUGAUUUUGGCAACUCCUUAAAAUUUCUUAAAUGAGUACUGGUUUGUAAAGAAUUAUCCAUUCCAUUUAUGAGAAAGAGGAGAACAGUUAAUAAACUUUAUUGUAAAAUCCAUAUAUUAAU